GCCGAUGGCCCUUUGGGCACAGGCGAGGGUGAAAGGGUGCGGUAAGAGCGCACCGCCCGACUGGUAACAGUCGGGGCAGGGUAAACCCCAUCCGGUGCAAGACCAAAUAGGCACACAUGCAGCCUUUGCUGCACAGCCUUGCUCGGGCUGGUGUGCGGGUAGGUCGCUUGAGGCCUGCCGUGAGGUAGGCCCUAGAUGAAUGGCUGCCACCUCUGCGCGGGCAGAGGUACAAAACCCGGCUUAUAGGCCCGCUUUCACU
rnacentral:RNase_P_RNA from 1 species